rnacentral:lncRNA from 1 species
AAAAAGUGAUUUCCAUUAACAGCAAAAGAGAAUGUUUAACUUUGGAUAAACCCUUUUUAAGAAGUCCCCUAUUUUUAUCUCGUAUGUCGAUACUAUACGUCGUUUAAUUGCACUGGUUGUUAAAGUAAAAUACAAAACAGACACUGAGAAGAUACCAUAAACUAUAGAGUUAGGAGAAUCGACUAAAUGCGAAUAUAAAUACACAAAGGGUGUGGACAAAAGAGAAUUUAAGCAACAGUAAGAAAAAUAUAUACAUUUUUUCUUACAGCCACUGUUCAUAAAAUGUGAUAUGUCAGAAAUGCUUCGCUGUCUGACUCAAAUAGGCACCACGCGCCGACGGUGUUGCUUGGCCCUCAUUUUCCAAUUAAAAAUCGACAGUUCAUAAAUCAUUAAGUAUACUGUUUUCUGUCAAAAAAUGAUUUUUCGAAAAAAUACUGGAAGAGAUCAUCUUCGUUAAAGUACUACUGGAACAGUUAGUGAAACUGUGAUAAUCGAUUUCCUUUAUACUAUUGUAUACUAAUAAAAUUAUGAAAUAUGCUCAUUAUAUUAUAACUAAUCUAUUUCUAUUAAAAUAAAUUAAUCUAUUUUCUCGAAAGAGUAGAUAUAAUGAUAAAUCCAGGAGAAAGUGGUGACUUGAAAGAAUAAUCAUUUGAAUUAUAUUUAUUU